GCCACCAGGGGCAUUUGCAGCUACCGCAGCAGACUCCGGACCACGGCGACUGGACGUACGAGGAGCAGUUCAAGCAGCUGUACGAGCUGGACGGUGACCCCAAGAGGAAAGAAUUCCUGGACGACCUCUUCAGCUUCAUGCAGAAGCGAGGGACCCCCGUCAACCGGAUCCCCAUCAUGGCCAAACAGGUGCUGGACCUGUACAUGCUGUACGUGCUGGUGACCGAGAAGGGGGGCCUGGUGGAAGUGAUCAACAAGAAGCUGUGGCGGGAGAUCACCAAAGGGCUCAACUUGCCCACCUCCAUCACCAGCGCGGCCUUCACCCUGCGGACGCAGUGAGUGUCCUGGGCUGGGGGACUGC